GCCGAAGUGGUGGAAUUGGUAGACGCGCCGGACUCAAAAUCCGGUGCCCGUUUGGGCGUGAGGGUUCGAGUCCCUCCUUCGGCACCA
rnacentral:tRNA from 1 species